UGGAGCUAGGCUCCCCAGGAGCCAGGAAGAGACUCCCUGCCACUGUGGCUACCUCGGAUUUCCUGGGACCUCAGGAGAGAAAACAACCUCCAAUGGCACUUGGAAGUUUCCCAACUUACAUUCAUUAGUGACAAGCACAGAUUGCUUAUCAUGCUUAAUAUUAAGCAGCUGCUUCAGCCUGGAGGCAUCCUGUUUUUCAAUGAGAAUAACAGGGAUAUUAAGAAGCCACCAGCCUCACAAACUUGAGUGUCAAAACCCCUACGAAAUCUUCCAUUCAAAUUGCGUGCAAGCUUCUGCAUAGAGAUGCGGCUUUAAUUAUUUUUUAAGUGCUCCGAGCAGUUUCAAUUACAGCCGUGCACAGGAAGCCCUGGGCGGCCCCAGCCGCUCCUGCGCCCAGCCCCAACUCCCGACCCCGCAGGAUGGGAGCUCAAUUGGAGGAUGUUUACACAGUACGCCAAAAGGCACCGAGCUGCCAUGUGGGAAACUCCUCUGCUUUCCAGUCCAAGAAAAUCACCCUUCUGGGCCACUACCGAAGUGCACUCGCAACGGCUCUUGGCACCGCUACUCCUAAAAUCCCCUCGGAAAGGGGAGUUAUUAACGCGGGGACAGCCGGGACGCGACCCCGCUCCGUCCCUUCUCCCCAGGUUAAUCCUUUGAUGGAUCCCUGAACAGUUCCCUGGGAAAGACUCGGAGCACAGAAAGCAUGGAAAUCCAUAGAAGGAGGAACAUCAAUAACAAAGGCAAUGGAGCAGCCCUCCUGGCUCCCUCAAAUCAGCAAGACAAGAUCCUGCACACAGUCAGAAACCAGGACCAUAUGACAGGUCUGGGUGAGGAGUGUGACUAAAUCAUUUACUGCAUAUCUUCUGACAUCCCCAACUGCCGGCAACUCUGCAAGUUGGUGCCACUGAAGAACUAUAUGGCAGGGACAUUGCAAUGCUGAGGAGAUAGCACCAACUGGCUCUAGCUUAUAAACUCCACAAUAUAGAGCUUUGAUGGUUUUGUCUAGGUGAUGAUAUUUAAAAAAAAAAAAAAAAAAGAUAUUACAUUGGGGUUAAAAUAACAAGAAGAGAAAACUCAGUUCAAAGAGGCCAUUUAAAGAAAAAUGGUGAUUAGGAGUUGAUGAUUAUAAAAGUUCAAGACCAGACUAGACCACUGGGAUUUCUAACCUAGCGCUUUAUGUAAGCUGUAGUGUUUAUCUGUAUUAAUUCUUGCUUCUGGUUCGUAGUCCUUUUUUUUUUCUUAGUGUACGAAUCUUGAGUUAAGAAUCAAGGCUGAUCUAUUACAGCUAUUGUGGAAUGUUCCAACGAUUCCUUAUAGCCAUUUGUAAAAAACUGUAACUCUGCCUGUCUUUAGAAUACUGAUUGGUCCUGCAUUGACUUCUCGGUGUUGUUUUUAUUACAAAUUUGUCCAUAGAACUACUGAACUUUUAUUGAACUCUUCCUCCCCAGAUGGUAGCUUUAAGGUUGUGAUGGUAAAGACAACUAGAUAGCACUCCUUGAGUCUCUGUGUAAGGCAUAUUUUCCAUCCCUACAACCAUUCCCAUUAAAUCUUUUUAUUCCUUGAAUUGUGAACCAUAGCUGCAUCAGAUAUUUUUUCAGCAGAGGUCAGGCCAGUGCUAAAUCAAUGUUACAUCACAUUUCUCUUCUUACUGGGUACCCAGUGUUUCACCAGCCAAGGAUUUCAUUCAGUCUCCUUACCACUGAGUCUCCCUGCUGUGCAGCAGAGUAGCCAUGCUAACUUGUACACCUCAUCUCCUUCAAGCCCUCUUCAGGACUGCUGCUCUCUAGGGUGGGUUAUUAUAACCAGCAUGGCCAAUGAUCUUUGUCACUAUGUAUAUAUUAUCCUACUUUAUUGAAAUACACAUAAUUUUCAUGCAGCUUUCCAAACAAUCCAGAUCACUCAGCAGUCCUCUCAUAGUUUACAACUUCCUUUUUCAACCUACUCACUUCAUCAGUAAUGAAUUUACAUUGAUGUACUGGAUUUAGCAAGAUCUUACAGAGAUCAUUUCUUGGCCCCAGUCCUCCAGAACCUCUGCAGAAACAAAGCAACUUCAGCAAUGAUUCCGACUUUGUAAUUGUUCUUAAGAACCUAGCAUUUAAUCAGUUUUUAGUCUGUUUCAUAAAGGCCAUCUUGAUUUUGUAUCCAAUUUAUUCAUCGACAUGUCAUGCGAUAUCAUGGCUCUCCUGGACACAAACAAUGUCAUAGACAUAAUGGAUCAAAAAAACUGCUUUUUUUUUUUUUUUUUUUUCCAACUUCAUCAGUUGGUCCAGUAAAAGAGACUAAGGUUCCCCAUAAAUUUUGACACAUCUAACAGAAUGCAAGUAAACAACGCUUCUAGUUUUACCAAUCAAAACUACAACAGUGUUUAAAAAGUGAUAUAACACUAGUUUAACAACUCCAGUUCCCAAGUGGAUUACUGACUACAUUUUUAAACAACCAUUAAAUUACUACAAUUAUUUUACAAGUAGUUGGCAUUCAGUAGGAGGUGAACAAAGUACUAACAUACACAGGAGGUGUUUCUUUCCCUGGCGAUUGCACAGGAUGGUACCAUGCCAAGAGACCAGUAUGUCAGAGGAAGUUGUAAGAACUCACCUCCUCGCUGUGGAAGUCAACCAAGUCCUACUUACAAGAUUUACAUUGCUUUCAUCUUUAAUUGUUCGUCCUAGCAGAUGUGCGAGCAGUAGCAUUCUGAAGAGGUGGAAACAGAAUAUUGCAGUCAUCAAAUUUCACCUUACAAGAGAGUGAAACAUACAAACAUCCCUCCACUAAAGUCUGAGUCUCUCUUAAACCUAUCUUUCUGAAGCUGUGAACUGAGCAUACAACCAUGCUUUAAGUGGACUCUGGAGCAGUCUCAAAGAUAAUACCUACAUUUGGAGCAACAGAAAUGGGACUAAAAAGGCAUGAGAAGAGAUUUCAAAAGAAGAGAAUUGGAUGCAUAGUUAAGAAGCUCACAGUUGAAAGAAAGUGAAACAGUAUUGUUUGACAGUCUUGUUUAGAAGUUACUAGGACAGGGAAUGAACAAACCUAUAUGAAGAAAAACAAGAAUUAGAGCCUUAUAUUCUCUGCAUGUCAAGAACACCAGGGAACCUGUGUAAUUGAAUGUACAGUAUGAAAAGAAUAGAGUGAAAUGCUUUCAGGAACUGCCACAGCAGUUGAGUUGACCAACUCACUGCUAUGAGUUGGCUCACUUCAGCUACAGGAUAAAAGUCACUUCAGAAAGAUUCCAGAAUAAGCACUCUAAAGGUACAUCUAUUUAUCACCCUUGCUGUGGAUCAUCUUAUGACAGUGUAUAAGAACAAGCUUUGAACUGGUUUGUUUUGAUACUGAGCAGCACAGGUAUGAGGAAAGCAAAGCAGAAACCACAGUAAAUGAAUUCAGAGAGAGCACAGCUACAUUGCUCCACUUUGGGCUGGUUGCCAAAUAAGCCGUGACUGUCUUAAAGGGGGUUUUCAUAAAACACAUCUGGGCCAUUUGAGCACAACAGUGAAAAGAUGGACGUAUGAGUUACUGUAGCAAACUGAUGAAGCCAAAUAAAACCAGUGUUUCUGUGCAGAGGUUCUAGAUUAAAGAGCUUGGGAUACAGUUAUCUUAGAUGACUUCAAGAUCAUUUACCCUAUUUAAAAAUACUUGUCUGAACAUUUUCAUUGCUUUAUACUAUUGCAAUAUUUUAUUAUUGUUACAAAUGUAUUAACAAUGGCAGCAUUAUUUACAGGCGUACAGCUCCCAAUCUGCUAUAUAUGUUAAAUGCUGUUAGUGAAGAGAGAGGGCUACAGCAGGCACCACUUUGUAUCUAAGAUAUGUGAACCCAAGAAGGUUGACAGUUACCAGGCACAGGAAUUAAGAACCAAGAUGAAAUAUUUCGUGCCAUCACUGUGUGGGACUGCAUGGACUUUUCAAGCAUAAAGGACACUUGAAGACUAGAAGCCUCAUCCACAGUUUCUGGUUACUUAGACUUUAAGUUGCAGGCAGAAUCCUCUCAAUGCAUGUUUAACUAUACAAGUGUUAUACUGCCAACUGUCAGAGUGAACAAGAACUGUAUGCACUAAUUUAGUGACAUGAUACCAGAAACAGUAAGGAAGAGUAUAAGAACUGGUUUUUUAGCAUCCAUUAACUGCAGGCCAGCUGGGCCAAGCAAGGAGGAUGGGAGAAGGAAAGGUGUAGUUUCCUUCUCAAUCAGUUUUGGUUUUCUUUCAUUUAUUACCUCCAGACAUAAGGAACAAUAGAGGGGCUGGUAAGCUAUGUGGUGUCUGACAGGCAGGAGGUGGAAACUGUUGCUAUAAACAGUGAAAGCAAUCUCCCAUGCUUACUUUACAAGUUUACAAUCCGAAAUGGACAGAAAGAAAUAGCUUACAUGUAAAAUACAUGUUCACAAGCCAGAAGAAUAAAGCCCUUGAAAGAAGAGAGCAUUUAACCAAGCAUUUGAGUGUGCUUAAGUUUAGGCCCAUACUGAAAGCCUCAUGGAUUUCACUGGGACUACAGCAUGUACGUGUCUGCUAAAUGGGAAUAUGAUUUCCCAUGUGCUGAAGUAGUUUCCUGAAUCUAACUCUUAGCCACUGCUUAAUGUCCAUGUGAACAAAUGUUCAACUUAGGCAGCCAUGGCAUGGCAUGGCAUAGAGGUACUAAAAGUAAUGAAAAUAGGUGGUUCAUUUGUAUUAAAAGGAUAUGCUUGUCACAUUUAA